AGAACCCUGACACAUCUGCUUUUUAAACUCGGGGGGGUUGAUUCAGUCGCAACGCUAAAGCAGCCUAACUUCAAAUCUUCACGGUUUGUUUUUUACGGCAGUACCGUCUGUCCUCCCUGGAAGACCACCCUCCGCGUGUUUUUGGCGAUUCGUCCUGGCUCUUAACUGCCAGUUUUCUCAAUGAUUUAUAUUUCUGAAGCUUGUGAUUUUUGGUCCCCGCAAGUCUUAACGCAUCCGCUUUGCGCUUCCAUUUUUGGAGCGUGUCUUGUGUACGUCGCUGUCGACAGCUCGGCCUGUUUGUCCGGUGGAGCGGUUUCGUCUUGCCGUGUCCCGGGACAGCGUCCAGGGGACGCCGUGGUUUUUCGACACAGUGCCGGAGGAGGACCCUGGCAGGGACUCGUCAGUCUGUCGGAUUCAGCUCCAGAGCGUUUCCCCUCAGAGGCACAUUUACACCCCCGGGGGGGCCUGCCCCGCCAUGGAGAGGGGUGUCACGCUAACCGGCUGACGCGGGGGAAAGCGUCAGGACUCGCGAUCCUCGUCGAACGCGGUGCUGAGGCAGGCGGGGACACCAUCGCGCGCACAGCGCCUCCGUUACCCAGAAUGCACCGGGGGCACGUGCUGCCUCUCAGACCGCCUUCAUCCUGCUGGGCUGGGUGGCCGCGUGACCUUUGACCCUCCGUGACCUUUCAACCCAGUGGAAUGCGGAGUUGCGCCUCAAGGCUUCUUCUCUUCCAAAGUGGAGUGGCCAAGACGUGCGGACCAAGGCAAGCAAACUGUGUGGAAGUUUCUGGAAGAAGGCCCAGAUGCAGAGGCACCUCUUGGCCUCCGUCCAUCCAUACCGCCAUUUUGACAGCGCUGGCCAGUUAACGUCUGGAAACCGCCAUUUCUCCUGAACAGAAGGUGGCAGAGCUUGCUGCAGUGCGUCUUUACGACAGCGGCGUCCGUCGCGCUCUGCACCCCCAGCGCCUAUCCCAGCAUGCUUUAGGCGAGAGGCAGGAAUACACUCUGGACCGGUUGCAAAUUCGUCUUAGGUCACGCCCACCAUUCACUCACACACUCAUACCUACGGGCAAUUUAGACUCUCCAGUUAGCCUAACGCCUCUUUGGGCUGUGUGAGGGAACCCACGCGGAGACAGGGAGGGAUUUGAACCCGGGACCUUCUCGCUGUCAGGCGACAGCGUGUCCGUGUGUCACCCAUGUGUCGAAAGUGAAGAACGGAGUGUGUGAAUAAAACUGUUCACGUGAACAAAGUCCAA